rnacentral:tRNA from 1 species
CCCCAUGUAGCCCAACUGGUAGAGGCGCUAGUCUUAGAAACUAGGCGAUGGGAGUUCGAAUCUCUCCAUGGGGACCA